rnacentral:rRNA from 1 species
CGGGGGGGGCAAGCGUUGUUCGGAAUUACUGGGCGUAAAGGGCUCGUAGGCGGCCAACUAAGUCAGACGUGAAAUCCCCAGGCUCAACCUGGGAACUGCGUCUGAUACUGGAUGGCUUGAAUCCGGGAGAGGGAUGCAGAAUUCCAGGUGUAGCGGUGAAAUGCGUAGAUAUCUGGAGGAAUACCGGUGGCGAAGGCGGCAUCCUGGACCGGCAUUGACGCUGAGGAGCGAAAGCCAGGGGAGCAAACGGGAUUAGAUACCCCGGUAGUCCUGGCCCUAAACGAUGAAUGCUUGGUGUAACGAGUAUCGAUCCCUGUUGUGCCGAAGCUAACGCAUUAAGCAUUCCGCCUGGGGAGUACGGUCGCAAGGCUG